UAUAAGCAUAGGCAUAGAAACUUGCAUAGGCGCCGGAGGGACACGUGCCAGUUUACUAUUUGAUUUUGAUUUUGAUUUCGAAGUUUGAUUUUGGCCAAGUGUAGCUAAUAAGUAAACAGAAAGUAUAUUGCGUAGCGUUGCCCCUUCAGCUGUAACAAUGUUUGAUGCUUUCAGUCCUACGCGCCUAAUAAGUACUAGCGGUCUGCUGAGUCUGUCACUGUUUAGAUCACUAGUUCUACGAGAAAACCAUCCGCGAGUGUAACGAGUCCUACUUACCUUUUGAACAAAGCAGGUAUCAUGAAAGCUGCAAUGCCGGAAUCACGGAUUCUGUAGAUACAGGAUGGAGAAAACUGCGCAUAAGUAGUAAGCUGGUCACGUGAACCUGCAGUCACAGACUGAUGAUACCAACUACACUCUCUUCUGUACGUAGGAGCAAAUUUAAAAUGAGUACCAUUAGUUCUAAACACACUCUACAAAAGAUAUGAUUUAUUAUUCAAAUAUUGAGAAAGAAAGGUGGUCUUAGUCUGCCAUCGCAAAGAAUAGGUUCGGAAUCCCAGACUGCCCAGCGCGAGCGGAACUCCAAGGCUAACAAAAGGAGGGUUGCAACCCCCACAACCCCUACCCUAGAUCUGCCACUGAGGUGUGACCGUAUAGCACCAACUUCUCAACCUAAAGGCACGUUUAAUGACAUAUGACGUCUGCAAGACAUAGCUGGCAAUUGGUAAACCGUCCACACGUCACGCAAUCACUCACAGCGUCUAGAUUCGGUGUACAGGCAAGCAAAUAACAUAUUGCAGUAACCAAACUUAUCAGUCGAAGUCUCAGAUACAUACAUACUGUCAGUUCACUUGUUAGUUUCAUUUGCUAUAGUUGGCUUCGUUACUAGCGUUCUGUUCAUCACCAGUAGAAUGGAGCUGUUUGAUUAGUUGAGGACAUUUAUGUGUGAUACCCGGGAACAAAUGGAGAAGAUUAGUGAAGACGUGAAAGGAAUGACGAAAACCUUAGAGAAAGUUGUCAACAGGGUGGAACAACUGGAGAAUCAACAAAGCAGCUUGGUGCAGUCACCGUCUACUGGAGCCAGGAAGUGUCAAUCCAGCAAGAAUCAGUUGUCCAGGUUAUGCUGAAUACACAACUAUUAAGUCUUAUGAGAAGAUUCGUAUAGUCAUCUUGUUUACACCGCGUCUAUCUCAUAGAAUGACACGGCUGACCUUUUUGACGUUCACGUCAAUAAUCUCUCCUUUACAGACACCUCUUGGUCGGAACUUUCACCUGACAUACGAGCUCAACUUGUUAGCAAGGCGCAGCAGCUGCUGGCUAUUUCGUCAAAAGAGUCAACAGGUGGAAAUGACGGUGAUGACUUGCCAGGUGCAGGCGAACAGUCAAAAGCUCGGCUGGCAAGCUCAAGCAGUAACUCUAAUGUCGCAGCACUGGAGACCCCAGUUGCGACAUGCCUAAACAACAGGCGUAGUGGAGGAAGAUGAAAUCUUCUGUUGAGAAAAGACGUGAGCGACAACAUCAGUCGAAAACACAUACGCGAACCUUGAGAAAGCGAAACCAGCGGAAAAGGAAGUUUUCGCAGCAGCAGGAAGCAAACACACUACAACUCUAGAUCUUGCGAAGCAGCGGCUGGAGAUGUCGCCUAUGAAGCAUGCUGAUGUGUCGCCUCCGCCUAGGUCUAAUGAUGAAGAUGGCCAGCAGCAAAAAAGAAUGCGCCAAAUUAGACAGCUAAAAGCUGCAAGGGAAAGCAAAGGCAAACAA